rnacentral:lncRNA from 1 species
GAUGUUUUAAUGAGUGAGUAUAUUUGAUUGGUGCAAAAGUAAUUGUGGUUUUUGCCAUUUCUUUUAAUAUAUGUCAAAACUUAUCACAUUUUAAACCCUAAAUAUGUACAGGUCAAUAAUGCUAUUUUUGAAAUUACAACUGCACAAUGAAUUGUGUAAUUACAGGUGAGACUAAAGAGCUACAAAGUGAGUGUGCUGGACACUCUGAGAAUCUACAACUGGAGAAGCCAACAUUGCCUGUGGACUGAGAGCCACAUCCCAGAAAGUGAUGUUCAAGUUGAGAUGGGAAAGAUGGGUUGGAAAUGGGGGGGCAGGGGGAUGAGGGAGGAGGAUGCUGGGGGAGAAAAGAAAAAUCCUGGCCGAGGAAACUAAGUAUGUCAGGCUCCUGAGGAGUGGGGAGGCAGCAUGGUGGACCAGAGGGGCUUGGUGAAGCCAGAGAGGACAGAGGGAAUGCUUGACACAUCAAGCCUUUGUUUUCUCUCAUCCAGAUGUCCAGUGGUCUCAGGCAAAGGCCCAGGCAAUGGAGGCUUCCCAUGGGGCCCUCUACCUCUUCACUGCUCCAGGUCGGAUCUGCAGCCUGACGUGGCCAUUCCUCCAGUGUUUGGAGAAUCAUUGCCUUGCCUUCAUUCAGGAGCCAGAUUGCCUGGGCUAGAAUCCCAGCUCCACCAUUCACCAGCUGUGUAAACUCCCUGGGCCUCAGUUUUCUCACCUGUAAAAUGGGAUUCAUUGGACUGUUAUGGAUUAAAUGAGUUGACUUUUAUAAAGUACUUAGAAGAACCUUAUUUAUUUGUUAUGUAUAAAAUGAAAUUCCAUCCUGCCUAAUAAAUAUCAG